ensembl:lncRNA
GGAGAGGAGAGGAGAGGAGAGGAGAGGAGAGGAGAGGAGAGGAGAGGAGAGGAGAGGAGAGGAGAGGAGAGGAGAGGAGAGGAGAGGAGAGGAGAGGAGAGGAGAGGAAAAUACGUGUAGGAGCAGCAUUGUUUUUGUGGAAGAACUCAUUUGAAACUAUGCUAUCUCUGAGCUGCACAAAGAGAAGAGUCUUCUGGCUUUAAUCAGGUUUAAAUUGUUGUUUAUAUUUCAGUAGCCACUGUCCCACUAAGGUAAAUCACAACGUACCCAGCCGCCUUUGGAAUGCAAUUCGGGGCCUGCGGAUUUUCCAGAUAGUGGCAACUCAGAGCAGCCUGCCGCGUUGUGGCACGACCCCGAAAAUGCCAAUUUGGGGUGUUUUGUUUCGGCUUUCUUUCUUUUCUUUUUCUGUAAAUAAUUAGGCAGUCUGAUCAAACCUACGUGCGUUAAGAUGACAGGUGAUACCUUCAACAACACAUUUAAUAGUCUAAGAACUGGAGCGCACAAGAUGUCCCCCUGAGAGGAGAUCUGUGUCCCCGGGUCUGAACAGCUUCAGGGAUUCCCGAGACAAGAGCAGAAGCGGGCGCGUCUAUAGGCCGUGCUCCCACAGUGAGGCAUCGCAAAUCCAUCGGAACAGUGCUCGCUUUUCCCAGCCCACAUCCCCUGGUACCUCCGCGCGGUGUUUCUAUGUUUCCCACCGCAGCGGAGCGCUGCCCCCCGGCCCCGCUCCGUGUCAGUCCCAGCGCCGCACCUCUCGGCGGGAGGUGGGAGAAGGGAAGGACAGACGGGUUGCUUUUUUUCUUCUUUUGAAAGAAAGGAGAGAUGAAAGGAAGAGCGACAGAUGUCAGCGAUCAGCAUAUUGAAGGGAAAAAAAAAGAAGAAAGAAAAAAGCAAAUAUACCUUUACAUAUGUAUCUGUAUUAAAAAUAGCGCGCGGCACAGCCAACAGGAGAGGCGGGAGGAAGGGAGGAAGGGAGCCCGGCCCUCCGACGCCCCCACGGUCCCAUCUCGGGGCCUCCUUGCGCUGCUGCCGCUGAGGUGGCCGCCGGAUUUCUUCCUUCCGCCAAACGCGAUCCCCGGGAACACGCAGAAAUCGCGCCGGGGUCUGCGUCCGCUGCUGCCAGCGGGAGGAUUUGCAAAUUUCUUUUUCUUUUUUUUUUUUCUUAAUGCCCUUAUUUCUUCGAUGUAUGUAAAUGCAGAGGACGUACAGUGACGUCAAAGGACGUGACCCUGCCGCUAAACCUGAACGUGAACGGGAAUGGCGGCGCGGGGGGCGACGGUGAGGCCGGGAAGGGGUAGCGGUAGGGCCCCUUCCGCGGCCGCGCAGCUCUGCGCCUCCGCGCAUCCCACGCACAUGGGCAGAGCAUCCCGGCCCCGCGUGGCCCAGCACAAAGCCCACCCCGCUCCGCCGAGCCGCCCGCUCUCCCCUCCUUAUUUAUUUAUUUAUUUAUUUAUUUAUUUAUUUAUUUAUUUAUUUAUUUUCCCGUUAAUUGAAUGUUAUUUGCUGUUUCGGUUCAUCAGAUGACGAGCGGGAAAUAGGAAACUCAGAACCGUGGGGGGAAAAAAAAAAUAAAUAAAUGUUUAUCGUCCUCUCCAAAAAUGUUACGCGGUGGAUCGCGGUCCUGCAUCCCUACGGGGGCAGCCGUGCCUCGGCGGCACCUGCGGGGCUGAAAGGGGCUGCAAAGGACUGGAAGCGAGCACGGGGCGCGGUGGGGGGUAAAGGCGGCUUCCCACCUCUCCCCCCGUCCAUUUUCCUUUACCCAGGCCCUCCCUUCUCUCGCGGCACUGUUGUUUGCGGGGAUGUGAGAAGAAGUUUCAGCUGCGACGCUGAAUGCCAUCGGCGUCCUGAAAGUGGAGGGUGUUCUCUAUUAGGAUCCAAGCCUUCCUACCUCUUCCCCAGGCGUCUAUUUGCUGUGAUGCCUUCAGAGCAUCUCCCUUCGCCUCGGCACGGUCUCUCCAAUUUGCAUACACCGCACGCUGCCUCCCCUACCCGAGAGUCGGAAUCUGCGCGCAUCCCCAGAGGCCGAGGAUCGCUCUGCGCACCCCCGGGCCCCUCUCGGUCCUCACAGUGCGCCCUUUGUCCCACCGCACCGCUGGGGCAGCGCUGCCGGGGGUUCCCGAGUGCGUGGGCGGAGGGAGGAGGCAGUCCCCUACUGGCAUGCAUACACACAUGUAUACAUACGUACACGCGUGUGUGCGUGGCUGCUACAGACACACACACACCUCCUGCCGUCAGCCCGCCCCCGGCCCCCCGCCACCUGCCCACGCCACCGCGGACGUCGAGCACGGCCGCCAGCGGCCCGCCCCGAAAAGGGCAGCGGGAAGCCGUCCUGACGCCCCUCACCUCCUCCCGUCCUCCGCGCCGCUCCGCUCACCCAAACUUCCGCCCUCACGCCCUAAAACGCGGCGUUUCCACGCAGAUUACGCGCCGCUGGUUCGCGGGAGGCAGCGGAGGAGCCGGGGGAGCUAUGCCGGCGGGAGGGCACGCAGCGGUUUGUUUGGUUCAGAGGAAAGUUACCCAGAAGGGGAAUGCCACCCAAGGACAGCACUCGGCAGGAGCCGCUCUUCAGAUCACGGCUGGAGAAAGACACCUACAAAAAACUCCACCGCUCGCUGCGUUUAGGAUGCCGAGCUACUUUAAAGCCAUUUGGCGCAAGAACUGCACCAUGGAGCUACACGGAACUUUUAAAGCAGGAUGAGGAUGGAGGAACGACGUGAAUUCGUGGAGAUUUGCCCGUGGGGAUCUUUGUGCUUGCCUUACCGCCGGGACCGGGGGGGGAGAACCUCCCCCACCCUCGGAGCCGCAGCGAUAUUUAAACAACGCAGACAGAGCACAGGGAAUGACAUCCAAGGCACGACACGAUGCUGUAUUCUCGAUAGUUCUCCUGCUCUUAUUGCACAGUUCGGAUUCGUGCUGACAUCCCCUUGCAUGCCAGCAGCAGUACCGCCGGGUUGCCAGUACGGCGGCACCGCGGUCACCAGAGGGACGAUAAGGGCAGCUCUAUGGGAAGCGGCUCUCCUGGCUGCGGGAGCGGGACGCUGCGGGAGCGCUGCCCGCCGCGAGCUGCCGCGUCGUGGUUCCUCUCCGCGUGAAUUCUGCUCGGCCGUAGUGUGGAAUGGGGUUUGUGCCGUGCUGCACCUCCUCCCGUGGUUCCUGCGCGGAAGGCGGAGUGCCGGCACGGAGCCCGGCUCUGAUUGCGUUAAUUGGAGCGUCGUGAGCAUUCCUCUUUAAGGCAAAUAGGGACUGUUUGUUCUUAAGAAAUCCGUGCAGGAUGCUUCUUCUUUACGUCACAGCCAUCUGGAGACCUAUAAAAAGAUUAGACGACAAGCAUGGCAAUCACAUACUGAUCUACAGGCCAUUAGCAGGAGUUCAUUAGGGAGGUGGGAGGAAAAAGCAAACGUUUGCGUUCUGUGUCUCACAAUAUGCAGCUCGCCUUCCAAAGGCUUUUGGAAUAAGUAAGCUUUGUACUGUUGCGUUAUCUGGGAAUAAAAUUGCACGUAGUGUUGACCGCGGCUGUUAUUCCUGACGGUCAUUGCAGAGCAGCAGGUUGCAUGAACUUUUCACAAGCUGGAAAAUGCUGCAGCCCUGGAUAUGAAUACUCUGUGCAGUCUCACUGCACACGGAUAGACUUCGAGGCCCUGCCAAGUGAUUGAGAGUUAGAGAAUUCAUUUGAUACUGCGGCUAAAGACCAGCUGGUUAUAGCCAUCACGUUGGCUCACUGCUGAAGCUCUCAUGACGGGUGUAUUGUGUUUACUUCUUCAGUCAGUGUGUGAGUAAGCGAGGUGGUGUUGAGGACAGAUCUUCAUGUUUUAAAGGUACAUCUUGCAUCUCUGAAACAUGCUAUUUUUUUUUUUUUAAGCCUUGCAUUUAGCUGUAAAUCUGGUCACAUGGUGACAUGUUUUAAAUGCAUGCGUUACUGUGCACUUACACGUCUGCAUUGAUACGCACCGUACACACACAUAUGUAUGUAUAAGCAUAGACAAAUACACACGACAGCACAAGGAGUACCUGAACCAUCAUGCCUCUCACUGGAAGAAUUCAAUGCACGAGCUCACAGUCCUGUUGUGUGCAACACAUCCACAUACGUUUGAUCACUGAUGCUGCUGCCUCUGGAUGUUGCCACAAAAAGAAAAACAACAACAACAAAAAACACUUUUCUAUCUGUUCAGAAAGAAAAAAAAAAAAAAACAACCUCAUUCGAAUUUUAUAUAAUAUCGAAAUGAUCAUAUGCUUCCAGAUGUCCCACUUGUGCCUGAGCAGCCUGAGAGAUAAUGAAGAAGCAGAGGAAGUGUAAUACAGCCCAGUAGGAACCCUGACCACUCUGUGCAAUCAGCUCCUUGCUCUCUCCUACACUGGUGGCAAUUUGCAGUGACACCUAUACCGGGACAUCUGAUGGGCAUCACAGAAAUAUGCAAACAAACAAACAAACAAACAAAUAAAGCCCAAACUCAGAGGCUGAGGAUCUGAAAGCACUGAUUAGAGACUUCGUUAGUAAUGUGAACCCCGAAUUCAGGGUUUGGCAUCUUCACAGUGUGUAUCUGUUACUUCUUGGGCCUUGUCUGAUAAAGGAGAGCGCUCCCCCAUUUUCAUGGUUUUGUAGUGUUACUUUAUGAUAAAGAAUGGGCAGGCUGGUACUGUGCCAUUUUACAGUGCAACCACACAGCCCUGUCUGUGUAUUUUAAUGUGAAAAUGUACAUGUGCAUUCAUGCAGGCAGACUGACACAUGCGUAUGUGGCUCCCCUACACAUGCACCACCACACAGUCAUUUGUAAUGUAAACAGGCCAUGCACUCAGUACAGAGCUACAAGAACUUAAAUUUUUCUCCAUGCAUUGGAGAUUUUAGCCUUAAAACCAACAACAUAUGCAAACAUAAGUAGAUCUACAAACUGAUUCAUUGAAGUGUGGGUUGAUAUAUCCUCUAUAACUCUAAGGGAAGACAGAGCAGGACAUGCAGGGCUGUGCUGCUUCUCUUAGCAGAGGAUUUUAAGCCCUCCUUCCUUAGAGGAGUGGGUCAGUCCAUAUUCUGCCUGUGCUGAAAUUUCCGAUGGGCAUCCCAUUCCCACUGCAGCAUGCACAAGCUCCUGAAGUGCAUUUAUUAAUUCCAACAGCAAAUAGUGCAGAUCUCGGUGAGAAGAUCCACUGUACCAUGUACACUCGGGAGACCUUUAAUGUUUGCACUUAAGACUUAGGAAAAUUCUAUACGAGUUACAGUGUUAAAUAAUUCAAAUUAUAAUGUCCUUUUUUGGGGGGUGGGGGAGGGGGAAUCGAGAGAUUUAGGUCCUAAAGCUGUGGCAGUUGGGAAGGAGGUGCCCCAUCGGCCCCACGCGUUAUGCAACACGAGUGUCCGCACUCCGCGUACGGGGUUCAUAAACACAAGCGAUAAAUCCGCGUUUUUACGGAGGCUUUUGGCCGAAGAAUGCACAGCUUCGGAUGAGCACUGCUGCAGCUUUUACCUGCACUGCAUUCUAACGCGGACACAGACAGAGGAUGGGAGGAGAGGAGGUGCAGAUGCAAGGAGCCGGGCUAGCAGACUCCCCCAGACGCUCUGCAGAGCCGUCCUGGUGCGAGCACCGAGCCCUGUGGGCGCGCAGCGCCAGCGGGAAGCCAUGGGCGAGCGGCGCUCGGCGGCCGCGGCAAUUGCCGGUGCAGUCACACUCCGUCCCCGCUGCCAGCUCCGCAGGGAGAGGCGGGCGGGGGGCGGCUCCGGCCCCGAGAGCGCCUUCCUCUGCCCGCAGGGGCAGCUCUCCCGCCCCGGAGGAAGGCACGGCGGCGGCG